rnacentral:lncRNA from 1 species
UUCUUUUCUUUCCCAUUUAAUUUCUCUCUCAUUUUAAAACAAUUUUGAUCCAAAUUUUUUACACAAAGUCUCUAUAAAUAUUUUGCAUCACAUCCAUUUUUCUCUUAUUUUUUUAAAUCAUUUUUGAAUUUAUUGUUAUUUUUAUUUCAUUUUCAUUUUCAUUUCCUUUUCUAAUUUAUUUUUCAAGCAUUUUAAAACCUUUUGGAAUCCAACUUUU